UCUCACUUCUGACCUCUGGACACGUGCUGCAGCUGUGGCUGAGGCCAAGAAAUGUGAGGGGCCUCCAUCCACUGCAUUGAGUAGUGACCCCGACGUGGGGUUCAAUGUGGAGGGGGGAGGGGCUGCUGCGGCAGCUGCAGGAGCCGACCUUGUUCUUCUCAUGCCGGCAUCCCUGCUUGCAGCUGUCAAGGGGACAGGAAUCAUCGAGGUGACCUGGGCUGAGUCCCGGGAGUGGGAAGAGUUGGCCGGAAGGGGAUCUGAGGAGGAGAACAGGGGUCCUGGUGGUCUGUGCUUCUUCCCAGACACGGGAGCUGUAGCGGGGACCUCUGCUGCAGAUGCUAGGGGGGCCACUAGGCCCAGGCAGUCUUGGGACUUGGGUCUGUCCUGCUGUGCAUCCAUAGUGGGUGCUUUAGAAACGGGAGGCCCACCCGAAGCCCCUGUUGCAAGUGAGGACAAAGUGUGGGAAGGCCGUGAGGGUCUGCAGUCCGAGAUGGCCUUGUCCUCAACGUGCAGUGCACUGUUGAUGCGCUGGAAUGCCUUCUCUUUUUCCAGGUGCAGGUCUUCAGCCGUGACCCGGUACCCCAGCUCUAAGGGAGGUGGCAGCAUCAAAGGCUCCCCUCGCCUGCGUGGCAGCAGGGGAAUCUUGCGUCUACGGGGCCUAGAGUCCUGGGAUCUGGGGGAGCCACCCGUUGGGGCGAUUGUCUGCCCUGGUGCUGUAUCUGCCCCCUUUUCACACCGUGUGUGACCCGAAGAGACAGCCUGAGGCCUGUCCUCACUCACUGUCUUUGAGUAACUGAGGGUCAGCUGGCAGCGGGAUGAGGCUGGCCCCCUCCUCUGCUUUAGCCCCGGCAAGCCUCCCGUGGAGCUGUAGGAGCUGGAGAUGGCAUUUCGUUUGGUGCUCGAGCUCGUCCAGGAUGUCUGGGAUGUGUGGUUAUAUCUGAUUUCUGAGCUCUGGGCGUGGAGGUCUGUCUGCAGAGGCCCGGGCCUGGGCACAAAGGGAGAGGGGCCUCCAUUGUCCCGCAGGGGCCAAAAUGCAGACCGUGCAUCCCCGGUGACCUCGGGGACCGUUCUCUGAUCAUCAGGAUUUUCUUGGACUCUGGGGUCCUUGUGCUGCUCAGGCAUCCCUGCCCCGCUCUCCUUGAGGGCCCUCAACACUAUCUUCCCUGGACACAAGUCUGGGGACAGCCGGGUGUUGUGGACCCCAAAGGGGUGACUACCUGCUCCUGGGCCCCACAGAGUCCUUGUGCUCAGUGUAGUGGCUGAGCUGGGGGAUGCCCUGGAACUCAGAGCACACAGCACUGGCUUACUGUGGUACCUGUGCAGUGAAGUUGAAGACAGAAUCACCAGGAUGGAACACAGGUCUUGCAGGAUCACGGAAAACCUUCUUAGAGUUGUCUUGACACCACUGAUGUCGAGUGUGCGGGUGUUUGUAGGAUGGCCUGCCACUCAGUCCAGGGGCAGGAGCAACGGGGAGAUCCCACAAGCAAAGUGAACUGGGGGAUGGGCUGAAGGGGCUCCAGGCAACUGAGCCCUACUCGCAGGUCCUCGGCCUUGGCCCAAACAGGAAUGAGGGGCACAGAGUGCCCGGGUAACCGCUCCUGGGAGCAGUGGGGAACUGUCGGAUACUUGAACUCUCAAGAGCUGGGCUCUGAGCGUCCUCGUCCAGCUGCCAACUUGGCCAAAGGCUAAGCCAGCAGAUUGUUCUGUUGCCGGGCAACGCGACUUCUAAACCUGAGGGAGUGGGCAUGUGAGCACAUAAUGGCACCAGUGACAGAGCGACCAUAAUGGAUGAAUAAGCGCAGCCAGGUACCCGCGCAAGGCACCUGCUGGCAAUGGCAGGAGGCGGACGUGGGGGGUCGUGCAGUAGGUACUGGAGGGAGAGACGUGGGCACAAAGGUCGCGGGAGGAACAGGUGCCCACAAUGGCUGCAUAUUUGCCCGUGGAUCACUGAAGAUUCCUGCUCUCCUGCUGAGGUGGAGACUGCAGUGAGCUGAGAUCGCACCAUUGCACUCCAGCCUGGGCAACGAGUGCAAAACUCAGUCUCCAGAU
rnacentral:lncRNA from 1 species